CCUGUUCUUAGAGGCAUUACAGGUGUGGCUGCACGUGCCACAUGUGGCAGAGAGGAGAGAGGUUCUGUCCGCGCUCAGUGUUCCGACCUGUGAUCAUCUGAAUGAUUAGUAGCCUAAUAUC
rnacentral:snoRNA from 1 species